CCCCCAUAGUUCACCACACCUGGAACGGUGGGUGGAUGAAAGCUCCGGCGGCAUAGGAUGGGCUGCGGCGUAUCAGGUUGUAGGGGGUGUAAUGUACCCUCUAGCCAUCUACGCGUACGGGUGUUGAGAGACAUCGCCCGGAGAUGGAUUCUGAGACACGAAUCCAGACCCUACGGGGUGCAGCAGGCGCGAAAACUUGGCAAUGCGAGCAAUCGUGACCAGGGAACUCCAAGUGCAUCGGGUAAGACCGAUGCUUUUCUUGACUCUUCAAAGGUCUUGGAAUAAGGGGUGGGUAAGGACGGUGCCAGCCGCCGCGGUAAUACCGGCGCCUCAAGUGGUAGUCGCUUUUAUUGGGCCUAAAACGUCCGUAGCCGGUUUGGUACAUUCGUGGGUAAAUCUAGACGCUCAACGUCUUGAAUUCUGCGAGCACGGCCAGACUUGGGACCGGGUGAGGUGUGGGGUACUCUCAGGGUAGGGGUAAAAUCCUGUCAUCCUGAGAGGACCACCUGUUGCGAAGGCGCCACACUAGAACGGAUCCGACGGUCAGGGACGAAGCCUAGGGGCACGAACCGGAUUAGAUACCCGGGUAGUCCUAGGUGUAAACGCUGUGGACUUGAUGUUGGGAGUGCUCCGAGCGCCCUCAGUGUCGAAGCGAAGGUGAUAAGUCCACUGCCUGGGGAGUACGGUCGCAAGGCUGAAACUUAAAGGAAUUGGCGGGGGAGCACUGCAACCUGAGGAUUGUGCGGUUUAAUUGGAGUCAACGCCGGA
rnacentral:rRNA from 1 species